rnacentral:lncRNA from 1 species
AGCCAUAAUGAUAAUUUAUCACAUUCUUUUCUAGUUCCUUUGGGAUUUUUUGGCUACAUCAUUUUUAGUGCUGGAGCUGCUGCUUUACUUCUAGUAAUAAUCUUUACCAUUGCUGUGAGAAUUUGCCUCAGAAAACAGAAAAAGAAGAAGAACGUUAAAACCUUUCAUCUAACUGAAGCAAAGCCAUCAAACAAAUAUGGAAGAAC